rnacentral:rRNA from 1 species
CUGCCUGGUAGUGGGGGAUAACGUUCGGAAACGGACGCUAAUACCGCAUACGUCCUACGGGAGAAAGCAGGGGACCUUCGGGCCUUGCGCUAUCAGAUGAGCCUAGGUCGGAUUAGCUAGUUGGUGGGGUAAUGGCUCACCAAGGCGACGAUCCGUAACUGGUCUGAGAGGAUGAUCAGUCACACUGGAACUGAGACACGGUCCAGACUCCUACGGGAGGCAGCAGUGGGGAAUAUUGGACAAUGGGCGAAAGCCUGAUCCAGCCAUGCCGCGUGUGUGAAGAAGGUCUUCGGAUUGUAAAGCACUUUAAGUUGGGAGGAAGGGUUGUAGAUUAAUACUCUGCAAUUUUGACGUUACCGACAGAAUAAGCACCGGCUAACUCUGUGCCAGCAGCCGCGGUAAUACAGAGGGUGCAAGCGUUAAUCGGAAUUACUGGGCGUAAAGCGCGCGUAGGUGGUUUGUUAAGUUGGAUGUGAAAUCCCCGGGCUCAACCUGGGAACUGCAUUCAAAACUGACUGACUA